GGAAACUGACGACUAGUUGGCACAACUCUGCACACAUGUUGUUAAACUGUUGAAUUGAAAUUAACUAAAAUUCUCAGGGUAAAUAUUUUAGGUCAAAGGAGUUCAGAUGACAAAAAAGUUUGGAUUAAGAUAUUAUAAACUUUAACCACCAUGUGCUGAAUCUGUAGGUGGUAAUUUGCAGGUGUCGCUAAUGAAUACCCUUACAAAAAUAAGUAUACUUCAAGUUCAUUUUCAAGUAUAUUUUAAGUAUAGUUUCUUGGCUCUUGGGGCGUCAGCCUGGAUCCUUUGGCUGCGCACUGCCCACUGCAGGUGGUGAUGUGCAGAGUCCCAGACCCUCUCACUCUCUCGGAACCAGUGGUUGACGGAGGGGACGUUGGAUGGUUCUCCAGACCACGGGAACAGUGGAGGCUGGUAACCGAGUACGCACUGGAAGGGAGUCCACCAAGCUGUCCAGUGGAGGAGAGAGCUCUGCGCGUACUCGCCCCAGCCUAGGAAUUGGUUCCAAGAGUUCUGGUGGCCGUGGCAGAAGGUUCUCAGGAAGCGUCCAAUCUCCUGGAUCUUCCUCUCCGCUUGCCCGUUAGACUGCGGAUGGUACCCUGAUGACAAACUGACCGUCACACCUAGGAGCUUGAAGAAAGCCUGCCAUACCUGGGAGAUGAACUGUGGGCCUCUGUCAGACACAAUGUCCUCUGGGAUACCGUAGUAUUGGAAUACAUGAUUGAAGAGAAGUUCCGCUGUUGUCAUGGCAGCAGGUAAGUCCUUCAGAGGAAUAAGACGGCAGGACGACGACGACGAAAGACGACGAAAGGCACACUUGUUUUGACUCCGUAAAAGUCACUCACAGCAUUAAACACAGACAUAAAAUCUUCUGAGGAGCUGGAGGUGCUUUGACAGCCGUCAAAUGGCUGUUUAAUGCAUAUUAAUUUUCUACAAGUCAGUUAGGAGUGUCUUUAAUCCAAAGUGGCCCGUGGUCAAGAGUCUUGGUGAGGGACCAUGACUUGCUCGGGGCAUAUUAUGUUCUGGAAUGAAACUCAGCAAUUGUAACAGAACGACUAACCAACUAUGAAUCCAGCCGCACGGAUUAUGCACCUCCGUCAGGGGAAACGGACGAUAGAGGAAUAUACCAUGGAGUUUAUUGAACUUGGCAUAGGACACAGUAUGCCUUAUGAUAUUUUUUCGGGGGGACUAUCUGAGCCGCUCAGUUCGUUCAUGCCCUUGCAUGAUCCUCAUUGGACCCUAGAACAUUACAUUGAUCUUGUAUUGCAACUGAGCGACUCCGCAUUUACUGUGAGUGUUGUGGAGGAGGAACGCAACAUUCACUUUGUACCCGAUGUGCCAGAGUCCUCAAUUGUCAUGGCUACCACACCAGAGCCUCCAUCCAAGAUGGCCACCACGGACACUACUCCAGAGUCUCCAGCCUUCACGGGUGCCUCACUGGAGUCUUUAGUCAGAUGUUCCUGUCUAUUCAUGUAGAGUUUUGUAAUUAAAAAACACGCGUGCAAGUGGAUUCUCCCUCUGCCUCGUCUCUCAGCAAUUGUAAAAAUGGACACACAAUUUUUGAUUUUAAUACAUUAGUAAAUGUUGAAAAUAACAUUAAGAUUAAUAAAUGCUUUAGAAGUAUUUAUCAUUGUUAGUUCAUGUUAACAAAUGGAACCUUAUUGUAAAUCGUUACUGAAUUUCCUCAAGGCAGAAUCACAAAGAUGCAAAAACAUCCACUAAGUUUUGCUUAAUUGCAAGAAACGUGUUUGUGAAGCAUUUCCUAGAAAUGGGUUCAUUUUCACUCUUCCUUCUUUUCCACCCAAUAUAAAUCAGUCAACUGAGCAUUUCAGACACUCUCUGAACUCCAGCUCAGACUCAACAGACUCUUUCAUUUCCACGAGCUCAAGAACGACGCACAGGAUGAGAUCGGUGGUUCUCCUCUUACUCCUCGUCACUCUGAUGUUCACCGAUGGAUGGGAAGAGUUUCCCUGCGAGUCAGUUAAUGAUAACAACGCUUAUUAUAACUUUGAACACAAACAUAUUCUCCCAUCUAAUUUCAACACAAGGAGUCAAAGUGCUUGGGAAAGUUACAUAACAAGAAAAGGUCUUUGUGGCAGAGCUCCUCAACAGUCCUUCCUCCGCAAAAACGAUGAGGACAGAGUUAAAGGAAUCUGCCAUGAACGAGGCAUCAGAUACAGUGGCAACAAGUGCAUCAGUACGAGUUCAUUGAGAGUGUACAUUGUUAAAAGUUAUUAUGAUUCAAAUAGAAAGUGUAAAGUUCGGUUUUGGUCUGAGCGCUAUUAUGUGGUUGUAGCUUGUGAUGUUGUUGGCAACCAGUGUUUGCCUGUUCACUAUCAAACACAAACUACCAGCCGACCAUACGGAAAUCUGCCCUGCGGGCCGCGGGCCUAUAUCUAAGUACAAUAUAGGGUUAAAAGUGAAAAGAUAGUAGCAAAUAAUUUCUACAGGACGUUUAGCAUAAGCAUCAUUAACCAAGACGAAGGCAAACAUGUUCAUUAGCUUCACUUCUAUCCUCUAACAUCACUUCUACAGCUGCUUUUAAUCCUUUUAGGAUUGUCAUUUAUUUUUCUGAGUGCUUCAUUUAAAGUGUACAGAAUCAGUGAAUGUGUGAUUAAAAAUGAUCAAUUUUUUUUUGUCAAAGGUUCCCUGAAGUAUUUGAUUGGAGAAAUUAUUGCUGUUUAUUACUGUUUUUAAUUCAAUAAUGGCAAAUACUAUGCGCAAUUUUUCAGAGCAAAAUUAUUUUUUCAAGCUCUUUUAUAUUCUUUAAAAAAACAACAGUGUAAAUGCAUGUGUGGUGUUCUGGUUUUGCAAAACCAAAGUUGUGUUAUUCAUGCAAAAAAUAAAACGUCUUACUGUC